GGUUGUCUUGACGCAUUUUCUGCAUUUCCCUAUGAAAGUUACCUGAACAAGCUAAAAAGGCUUGUUAUAAAACCAGACUUUCCCCUUGCCCAAAUUAUUCGUCGAUUGUCAGAGAUGAGAAUUACUGACACUCCUUUAAAUGGUGCCUCUUUUAAAAACAGCAUUUUGUUGGGCCACUUGUAGAUGGACUGUCAGUGAAAGCACAGUUUGGUGAGAUGGCAUGUGACGAGUGGACAGUUAAAGUUUCAACCGGGGAUAACGUGUUUGUAAUUGGAAAUGAGAUUUGCAUUAUACAUAACAGUGUGUGAAUUUACAAAGAAUUUUCACAGAAGUCUUUGUCCUUCACUUACCCAUUCAAUUAUGAAUAUAUGAAUAUCCAUAUCAUUUCACAAACAUCAGAUAUACUCAAGUGUGUUAAAGCUUCAGAGCUUGUCCAGAAAUGUGUGCUUUACCUCAUAUGGAUGGUUUUGUGGCUAUACCCUUAUUCCAUACAUUUUAUGAAUGUCUCGUGCUGUGAGAAAAAAAAAUUACUUUACUCACCCCCAUGUUGUUUUCAUUUUUGGGUGAACUAAAUCUUUAAGGUUACAGAGGGUUAUCAGCUUUUUUUAUAAUUGGCAGUUAAAAUGCAAAGGAUGAAGCCAUUUUUAGCUUGUCAUUUUUUCCUGGGGAGAAUGAUGGUGGUAGUAUUGAUGGUAGUUUUAGUUGUAGCUCUUUAGUUGUGUUCAUAAAUUAGCAGUAAGAUUUGAUGCGGUUGCACAUUAGUUUUGACUGGACAGAUGUUUAUGCAAAAUUAGGAUCAGGCAGGGUGACAAAAGACAACACCAUGAAUCACCACAAAAACUGCAGUCUGAAUCUGGAUAACAAUUGAUGUUCCACUUAAUCGAGUUCAUGAUCAACCAAACGGUAGCAGUGGUGCCACAAACGUGGUGCAGAGAUGGAGUUGUCUAUUGGCCAAACUACAGAAAUGAUGAAAGAGUAAACAGGGCAUUGAAAAAUUCGGAGGAGCCUGGACCUGACUGGAAAACAUAUGAUGUCAGAGUUAUUAAAAAAUGUGAUGACUACUUUGAGGCACAACAACUCUUAAAGAAAUCUCUGAUGUGUAACACAUCAGAUCUACAGUCUGAAGAGUAAGAGGAAGAGAUUAAACCAAAGGGAAGGCCAAAGCCAAUGUAAGUAUAUACACAGGGGCGGACCUACCGGGUUGGCAUGGGGUGGCAAAUGCCACCCUAAAAGAAAGCCUUGUCACCCCUGCAGCCACCCCAGUUGGCAGCAACGGAUUAAAAGUUACGGACAAUUUGAAAAUUUACGCUCGCGAAUCUCCGAUGUCCGACUGCCGUAAAUGCAGCAGCACGAGAGGACGACAAAAGACUAUAGACAAAAGACUAAAAACAAAAAAAAAGUGCGACCAGGAGUCGCGAGGAGACACAGGAGGAAAGAGGUAAAAAUGGAUUAUCUGUCAAGAAAUUAAGCUUUAUUAAAAGCACUAACUUUGAGAUGAUAAAUAACUAACGUUACAGUGGUGUAGUCUCUUAAGUGAUAAGUUACCCAGUUUUAAAAAGCAUGAGGAUAUGUAAAAACUUCGUUUUGUGUCAUAACUUUCACACUUUCAUUCAUAAAUUCA
rnacentral:lncRNA from 1 species